CUUUUUGACAAAUUCAUCAUUGUGCUUUUAACUCUUUCUGAAAAUGUUUCAAAGUUUUCUGACGUGAUCUGUUUGUCAAUGGCAUCUUGUCCCAGCUGUUUUGAUACCAAAUGAAAUAGAUUUUCGAUGGGGUUCAAGUCCGGACUGCGGGGUGGUAUAGCGAAGGUCACUGCUCCGACUUCUUGGAAAGCACGUCUUGCUGCAGCACUGUUUUGAACUGGGUCCCCGUCUUGUAGAAACCGUUUAGCUGUUGGAUUGGCACUGUCGAGAAAGAUUUGCGGAAAAUGAAGCCGUACGUACUCGGCAAAAUCAUCGCCUUUAAAACGAUGGAAGUAUUGGUCGCAGGACACCACACCUUUUCCAUAGGCGAUCGAAACAAAGAAAUGUGCCGUUCUACCCUCUACGCCAGCCUUUUUCCCUUUAGUUGUGCAGUUUAGUGCAAGGCCUUCGCAUUUCCUUCUCCAAGCCAUGGAUUGUGUAGCUCGUGCCUGGUCGAAGGGGUUUGUCUUGUGUACAAAUGAGGUGCCGUCAAAAUAGAAGCUAAUACCACGCUCCCAGAAACCUAUCGGUAACAGCCUCCUAAUCUUACAAGCAAAACGAUAUCUGCGGAUGACAUCUUUCCGUGUCAUAAGUCCUUUCUUACGCGAGUGUAAAUACUGAUAGCCGUGUCUAUUAAGUAUUCUUCGAAUACACCAGGGAGAUACAUCAGGACUGAUGCCAGCCAUCGUCCGUAGUCUGGAUGCGGAAAAGUACCCGAUUGUUGUCCUACAGAGACGCAAGUGCCUGAUAAUGUUACGUUCGUCACGAAUGGAUAACUUUCUUGGACGCCCUUUAUUGUGCUUGCGUUUGUCAAAUGUCGCGACUUCGUUAAUUGGCAGUUUAGCGUGUCGAUAAAUCGUUGCUUUACUGUACUUCGGGAAACGUUUUAAUAGUUCAUUUCCUCGAAGACCUUUGUCUUGAAACAAAUACCUCAUGUAAAUCGAGGUUUCUUUUGGGACAUACGCUUUUGAUUUCAUCUUUCUUG
rnacentral:lncRNA from 1 species